rnacentral:rRNA from 1 species
CUACGGGUGGCUCCAGUGAGGAAUAUUGCACAAUGGGGGGAACCCUGAUGCAGCAACGCCGCGUGGAGGAUGACGCAUUUCGGUGUGUAAACUCCUUUUAUAUGUCAAGAAAAUGACGGUAGCAUAUGAAUAAGCACCGGCUAACUCCGUGCCAGCAGCCGCGGUAAUACGGAGGGUGCAGGCGUUACUCGGAAUCACUGGGCGUAAAGGACGCGUAGGCGGGUUGGAAAGUCAGGUGUGAAAUCCUACAGCUUAACUGUAGAACCGCACUUGAAACUUCUAAUCUAGAGUAUGGGAGGGGGAGAUGGAAUUAGUGGUGUAGGGGUAAAAUCCGUAGAUAUCACUAGGAAUACCUAAAGCGAAGGCGAUCUCCUGGAACAUUACUGACGCUAAGGCGUGAAAGCGUGGGGAGCAAACAGGAUUAGAUACCCUCGUAGUC